UCCAGGUGGUGCAACGGGUCAGUGCAUCUGGCUGUUAACCAGAAGGCUGGUGGUUUGAGUUCACCCAGGGAAA